UCCGUAGGCGGGCAAUUAAGUCAGUGGUGAAAUCCCAGAGCUCAACUCUGGAACUGCCAUUGAUACUGGUUGUCUUGAAUUUAGUUGAGGUGGGCGGAAUACGUUAUGUAGCGGUGAAAUGCAUAGAUAUAACGUAGAACACCGAUUGCGAAGGCAGCUCACUAAACUAAUAUUGACGCUGAUGGACGAAAGCGUGGGGAGCGAACAGGAUUAGAUACCCUGGUAGUCC
rnacentral:rRNA from 1 species